UUGUACCGGGUGGCGGUGCUAUAGAUAUGGAGAUCAGCCGGUACCUGAGGCAGCAUGCACGUACAAUAGCCGGAAAGUCACAAUUGUUCAUAAAUUCGUAUGCUAAAGCCCUUGAGAUUAUUCCCCGACAACUCUGUGACAAUGCUGGAUUUGAUGCAACUGACGUAUUGAACAAACUUAGACAGAAACAUGCAUCUGGUGAAGGAGCCAAUUUUGGUGUCGACAUUAACACUGGCGGGAUUGCAGAUUCAUUUGCGAACUUUGUAUGGGAACCCUCAGUUGUGAAGGUUAAUGCUAUAAAUGCCGCGACUGAAGCUGCUUGUCUUAUUUUAAGUGUGGAUGAGACGGUG
rnacentral:misc_RNA from 1 species